UCCUACGGGGCGCAGCAGUGGGGAAUAUUGGGCAAUGGAGGCAACUCUUACCCAGCAAUGCCGCGUGAAUGAAGAAGGUCUUCGGAUUGUAAAGUUCUUUAAUUGGGGACGAAAAAAAUGACGGUACCCAAGGAAUAAGCCCCGGCUAACUACGUGCCAGCAGCCGCGGUAAUACGUAGGGGGCAAGCGUUAUCCGGAUUUACUGGGUGUAAAGGGAGCGUAGACGGCAGUGCAAGUCUGGAGUGAAAGGCGGGGGCUCAACCCCCGGACUGCUCUGGAAACUUUACGGCUGGAGUGCAGGAGAG
rnacentral:rRNA from 1 species